AACGAACGCUGGCGGCAUGCCUAACACAUGCAAGUCGAACGAGACCUUCGGGUCUAGUGGCGCACGGGUGCGUAACGCGUGGGAACCUGCCCUUAGGUUCGGAAUAACUCCCCGAAAGGGGUGCUAAUACCGGAUAAUGUCUUCGGACCAAAGAUUUAUCGCCUUUGGAUGGGCCCGCGUUGGAUUAGCUAGUUGGUAGGGUAAAAGCCUACCAAGGCGACGAUCCAUAGCUGGUCUGAGAGGAUGAUCAGCCACACUGGGACUGAGACACGGCCCAGACUCCUACGGGAGGCAGCAGUGGGGAAUAGUGGACAAUGGGCGAAAGGCUGAGCCAGCAAUGCCGCGUGAGUGAUGAAGGGCUUAGGGUUGUAAAGCUCUUUUACCCGGGAUGAUAAUGACAGUACCGGGAGAAUAAGCUCCGGCUAACUCCGUG
rnacentral:rRNA from 1 species